GAUGACGUGGCCGAGAUGGAUAGGCAAAUGAUUGCAAAUCAUUUUUACGCGAGUUCAAGUCUCGCCGUUAUCU
rnacentral:tRNA from 1 species